AUUAACUUACGUUGCUUCAACAACCACGCCAACUCCAGCUGGCCGCAGGGCUUCUGUGACUGCUACCGCAAUUUGUUUUGAGUGCUCCUAGAAAUGUGAGGGGAGACGUAGCCUUGUUGUGGAAUCUGAGACUCAUCUCUUGACAGCAGUUGGGAUAAGAUUCCUAGUGCAUAUUGGGGUUACAUUGGGAAGGAUAUGAUGUCUUGGCUUCCAGGUCAAUACACUGCUGUGCUGAGUCAAGCAGGCUGUUUCCCAUGGCUGCCCUGGCUGUUCCUAUUACUAGUAGACAGUUGCUGGAUCUCUGAAGAUACUUAUGAUUUUGUGAGCAAGGUCCUGACCUAAUCUAUUUCAGCUCCUUCGUCUAAGACCAGGAAAGAAUAGACACAAGAAGAAAAAGGUGCCAAAUGUUCAUAGGCAAUGGCACAGAAGCUAGUUAAAAAUAACUCUUUCUUUACUCAAUAGCUAACAAACAGCAUUUCUCACUCUUCACUCAAAAGGGAGAGAAAUAUUUAGCUUGUCUAUGAAUUUUUUUUAAUGUAUAGUCAGUUCUGGGUCAUGUAAUUUUUAAAGAAAAUACAUUUAAGAAUUACAUUAUAAUAGAUGUUGCCAUAUCAAAUUAGUCAUACUCCCCUAAACUACAUGGAAUUAAAAGACUCAUAAUGUACAUAUACCGUCUGGUAAAGAACGAAAUAAAACAUCAUGUAGGAACCAGA